rnacentral:rRNA from 1 species
GACGUAGGGCGCAAGCGUUGUCCGGAUUUAUUGGGCGUAAAGAGCGUGUAGGCGGCUAGAUAGGUCCGUUGUGAAAACUCGAGGCUCAACCUCGAGACGUCGAUGGAAACCAUCUGGCUAGAGUCCGGAAGAGGAGAGUGGAAUUCCUGGUGUAGCGGUGAAAUGCGCAGAUAUCAGGAAGAACACCCAUGGCGAAGGCGGCUCUCUGGGACGUGACUGACGCUGAGACGCGCAAGCGUGGGGAGCGAACAGG